AUAUUUCCCCAUCAGGGUUCUAUUCUGGUAGAGCAGAUGCAGUGUAGCUGAGAAUUCAAUCCUCUCUGUAGCACUGAUACUUCAUGAUUUCGUUGGACCCAACUGUGUCCUCGGCUUUUUCUUCGCUCCCGUCUAGGAGGUAACAGUCUGCACUGUUGCCCAGAAGUCCUCUGACUUUCAUACAUAACCUUUCCAUGUGUGAUCAGUCAGUCUUCACUUUGCAUUGUCUUUCUCCGAAGGAUUAAUGCCCAGCAACAGCCAACCAAACCCAUAGUUCUUAUACUUACCAACUCAUUUCCAGAAUGCCAGGGUACGUCCCUCCUCUGCUUACUCCUUUGCAAGUCACCAUGGUGAGGUUUCAGCAGUGACAAGAGCAGGGCAAGCUGGCACCUACCCUGCUCUACCUCCUCCCAGGGCUGGGGGCCUCUUGGCCAGCCAAAUGAUAAAGACGCUGCUCCAAAAGUGCCCAUUAGAGCUGACUUUCCAGACCCCACCCAGACAAACUCCACACAUCAGACCCAAGGCUAUCUACUCCACUCCUGGUGGCUCUCAUCCUGGGCCCAAAGCUGCUGCUGCUCAUCAUUGUCUCUGUCAUCUAUGCUCACAAGUAGCAAGGGCCUGACUGUCCUUCCUUCCUCCCCUGCUACAUGCCACCCUCAGACUCUGCUGCCUGCUCCAUUCCCUGAAGGGCCCAGCCUAAGAGAAGGAACAACUAGAAGCUUCCACAAUUCUGACCCAGAUGCCUUGCUUCCCAUGAGACACACCUGCCCAGAGCUCCUGCUGCUCCUUCUCAGGGUCCUUGAUGCCCCCAGAGCUAGGUCUUCAUACCAGGUCCUCAGCAGGGGCCAUGGGAACUUGAUCUGGGGACUGAUGCAUGGAUCUCUGCCUGGAAUGUGAGAAACAAGUCACAUCUACACAGAGCAAGUAUCUCUCAUCCAUCUCCUGGGGACCGUGACCAUGAACUACACACUCAUGUCCAUGUUCUCAGGAGUUAUUUCUGCCAAGCCCCAGCCUCCCCAGCCUUGGUGAGGUUCUCCAUUUGGUCUUAAAUAGAAUGCAUCCCAUCCUGGUUUGCAGAGGAGAAAUGAUUUCUUUCUUCUUUGCCUACAUGUGCUACUCUUCAGUCCCAGAGGGAAGAUUCACUCCUCCCUGUGAUGGGAACACUGCUCUUCUGUCCCCUUCAUCCUUCCCAACCCCACUGCUCAUGCACUCGGGCUGGCAGUCCAGAAGCCUAAAGCCAUCCUUAACAUUCUUUCUUUAUAUCUCACAUUCAAUUCUGCCUUCAGAAUGCUGUGUCCAGUGGUAGGAUGGUAAACGUGAAACAAUCCACUCUCAAAAAGAAAAAGAAGCCUGAUUGGUAGUGCUUGUGGACUUCUGUGAUGUCAACACUUCCACCGUGACCAAUUACAAGCUAACGGUGUUUAACAACUCACUUGUAAAAUUCCUGAAAAGCUCUCAGGAGUGAGUGCAAGGCUCCUCCCACACUCCAGUGAGCUCCACCCAGAAUCUGCGCACUGCUCACUCCCAGGGCUGCUCUCUGGUCUCAGCCAGCAGCAUUCCUUCAUGGACUAUUGCUUUGUCUCUAACAGGCUCUCCAGUUUAAGCCACAGUGAUUCUAUGGAAAUGGAAGUCAAACGUGUCUCUCCUCUGCUUCUUGCCCCUAUGAACCUGUGUGGCUCAUCUCUCCCUCUUUCAAGCUCUGCUGACAUGUCACUUUAUUAAAAGUCCCUUCCAUAAACCACCCUACAUAAAAUAUCAGUUCUUCUCUCUCACCCUCUGUUCCCAUGGCUCAUAACCUAAUUAAAUUGUUUCCCUAGAACUCAGGAUUAGCUGACAUGAUAAGUGGAGGCAGUGCUCAUGUUGCGCAAUAGUGCAGGACAGAACAAUGAUGGUGUAGCUGAAACCAUGCAAAGUGAUCUCAACAAUAAGCAGGAGAAUCACGAUUUUCUGUGAGUUUUAAAAACUUUUUCAAAACACAGAAACUCUCCAACUGUCAAUUAUGAAUGAUAAGAAAAUUAAAAAAACAAUGGAACCAUAUUUAUUUGGUAUACUAUCAUUUCACAUAUUAGAAACACAAAGAAGGGAAGCAUUUAAUUUUUUUGUAAAGACUCAUCAAGAAUAGUUUGCACAGUGCUUACCUUCUUCUGAUCACAUAGUUGGCCAUAUAGACCAGCAUCAGAAUUCCCUCACUCCAGUUUCAAAUAGGAUCAGCAUCCAACAUCCCAUCCCUUGCACUUCCAAUGUAUGAAAUUCUUACGUUAAUUUGAAUAUUUCUGGUGUCACAUCCUCUGGGACAAUUUCACCCUCCCUCCCCAUCAUAUUCUUCAGUGACGUGGUAAGAGUGCCUCACUCUGCUCCUCUGGCUGCAUAUCCACACUCUGGGGACCAGCAUCCCGGUCACCAUUCCCAUGGGAGCUAUGCCUUCAUGAGCCCCACUCACAUUCAGUUUGAACUUCACCUCCACUCUCAUCUCUUCUCAUUUCUACAUCCCACUUUCUGCUUUUUGCCAAUUCCCUUUUGACAUUAUUCACUUUUGUACAAUGUCACCUGGGCUCCUCGCUGGGAGACCAGGAGACAACAAAACCACCUGCAUUGCUGUUUGUGGGAAAGUGAGUAACAGAGUCACAGAGAACGACCACUACAUGCUUUGAAAGAUGUGAUGCUUACUUAUGGGGAUAAGCACCUGUUAGUCAUAUAGGGAUUGGUAGCCUGAAGAAGAACUGGCAGAAAGUUUGUACUUCAUGCAAUUGCUCAUGGAAAAUUACUCCGUGGUAAAUGAAACUGGAAUCAUGUGUUGGGGGACUGAUGUUACUUAACUGACCUAUGGCAACAGACAUUCGUGCACAUCAGCACCAUGCAAACUGAGAACUGCCUAUUGUGUGUGCUUGUCUCUUCCUCAAAUAGGAUGUGGACUCUGACAGAGAAGGGACAGUCUGUGUCCUCAGUUGUCAGAACAAUGACGGCCAUGAGUUUGGCCAUCACAUUUUUAAAACAUAAAUUGGGGAACAAUUCAUUGCAAACAGCAGUUUCUACCAGAUGUUGGGUAUUAAAAUACCAUUUCACUUCGUUCAAAGCUA